AUGCUGUUUCUCCCACAGCUGGUGGGCAUUGGUGGUAGCGCCCUGGACUGGUUUAGGUCCUACUUAGCAGACAGGACUGAGUGUUGGUCUUAGAGUUUG